UUAACGGCCAGACUGUGCUGGCUGUUCCUAUUUGCCAAGAGUCACGAUAUACUUAUUUCUUCUUUCGUUUGUAUCGCGGGCAAAAAUGAUUGGGACUGGUCAGUGAUGAGAACUGUUACGAGAGAGCUCGAUCGUAUCGAGCCGCGCUUGACACGAUAGAUUUCGAGAUUUAAAAUUAUUUACCAAUUAAAAAAUUCAAUACAUCGUCUCGAUCGAUUCGGAAUGUUUAUAAAAAUAAAUAAAACCAUCCUAUGGAAUUUGAGUAUUGAACAUCGUAAUCAUUUUAAAGUUUGAGGAUCACUGUGCCCCCCAUCGUUUAGGCUGCCCUACAUUCGCUCGUAUAGAGAAGUUUGCCAGGCUUCGGGGGUAUUUUGGUUGCUUUUUAAACGCUAAUAACUAAUAAACAAAGUGGUCUGAAACGCCACUCCCUUGUUCUUCGUUUUCGUCUUGUUCCGUAUCGUAGAAGCGCCCCUUAAAUUCUCUGCCAUUUGUUGCCGAACACCCUGUAUAAUUUAAAGCAUCGAGAGAUCUGCAACUUCCUCCGGCGGUGUCAUAAUCGGUUUUGUAUCUGUCCGCGCGAGACGAUGCGACGAGCGGUACGAGGGAACCGAGCGAGCAAAAAUAAAUGGCAAUUAAAAUUCCACUCGCAUCUCGCUGCCUCGUAGAGAGUCGUGAGGCAUCGUAGAGACAGGAGUAAAGGAGCCAGAGUCCGCUGGCAAGCGGGAGCAAGCGAGAAAAACUGAGAGAAAAAGGAAAAUACUGGAAACGCGGAGAACCGACAAAGACGAUAGAAUUCCCAUUGCUGGCGAACGAGAAAGAGACGACCCGAGUUUCAUAAUCUUAUAGAUCCCAUCGAAAAUCUGAACGAUCUUCGAUUCAUCACAGCCUAUUCUGACUUUCCUUUUUUUAUACGAUGGAUAUUGGAAUAAAUGUAACAGAUGACGAUAUGGCUAACAGUGUACGUGGAAUUAAUUAAGAAACUGAAAGGAUUAAAAGGAAACGUAACGAGGCGAAAAAAGCUUGAAAAUUUCGUUCAUAGGAUCUACAACGAGUGAAAGUAACGAAUAAGCACGUAUACGUAAGAACGUAUUACUUGUGAAAAAGUUUAUAUCUAUGUGAGUGACCCGAGAAAUUCAAACAACUAAACUUUCGAUGCACAGUUAUACGAAAAAAGUUCGUAAGUUUUGAAAGUCUCUCGUUAAAAGAAACAUCCAUUCGUUCAUCGAGUUUAGGAUGGCUUUUAGACCAAGCAACCUACUCGGCUAAUUAAUAAUUGAGUACCGUGAAGUAUAACACUGACCCAGUUGGAUCGAUGAAUUAUUAAAAUGAAUAAGCGAAUAGAAUUAUCACGGUCUAUCCCACUUAUUUCUGCUGUCUGUUCUGCUUCUGACUUUUUGAUGUAUAACGUCCUCUUUGGCUCGGAUUCGUUUUUCACUUAAACUUCGCUGGAUACUCCGUUACUUUUAUCAUCUAAUAAGCCAAGAUUUUUUCUAGUUCGUGAUUCAUAAUAAGCAGAGAAAUGAGCAUGGAGAAACAGCGAAGAAUUUAAUGCUACUAUCGUUCGGUAAAUUAAAAAGCCGAUCGUAUAACCUUCCAAUAACAAAUAAGCUCGUCGCAACCAAGGUCAAUCUUCGUCUUCGCGAAUUCCUCCUGUCUAUGAAACUUUCGAAAUUCCUCAAGAUUACGUCAUGGCACCUCGUCAUCGGUGUUCCUUGGUCUCAUUGCCAUCAUUGAGACAUGAAAACAAUCGUUAACCACGCAUUAGGCUGUCGGAGGUUGUUUACGAAAAUCGUAUAAACAAUUAAAUUAACAUUGUAACAAAGAAAACUUGCUUCGCACGAUUUCAAUGAUUUUUACGUUUUACAAGAUGAAGAUGAAUAGAAUCGGGAAGUUUGUAAUUUGAUGACUGACGGUAAUCGUAUUUAAAAAUUUCUAAAAGAAGGAAGAAAGACGAAACAUUAGACUUUUCUUAAAAAAGGGAGAAAAAAAUAGGAAGGCGAGACAAGCCGUUGUUUAGUCUGCGGGACGAACUCCUCUCACCCUGCGGAUUACGCGUUCUAAGGCUGUCGUCGAGAAGUCUCCAGACAAUCUCGAAACUAGAAUCGAGCCACGAGCCAAUCUUGAAAAUCGACGAUGACAUCACGCGUGCAGUAUUUCGACCGAAAUAAAUAUACCGUACAUCGACAUUCUCCCACUUCCUGUCGCGUUCCACGUGAAAAGCCGUCUUCCUUCGCUUCCGGCGACGUACGAAAUUCUUCCAAGAAUAUUAUCGAAAGAAGAUUCGCAGACAGACGAACGUGAAAUAUCCUUGGCAAUAGCGGAUAUUUAUUUCUGAUUGAAAUUGGAAAGGAAUUGCGGAGCGCCAGACUAACGCGAAAUAUUCGCGUAGGCAGCGGGAAUUUCGCACAGUUGGCAUUUAUACUUUCGGAAAUUCACGUUCCGCGAAUACGCGACGCUACAUCGACGUAACGUAUUGCCGAAAUCGUUUCACGAGAAAAUUUCUUACGACGAAUCGAAGGUAAAUCGCAUAUACGCGCCGUCAGACGUGCCAACUAUUAUAAUUUCUUCUUGGCGAAGAUGCCAGCUAUUCGCAGAUUUCGACGCGUUGCCUCUCGCAGUUUACAUAGAAAAAUAUUUUUAAUAAGAUAAAAAAGACGAGCGUGUAUUAAGAAGCAAGAUCGAUUAAAAUUAAGGAAAACAGGGAAAAUAUAACACCGACAAAUAACAUAUUUUCCAUAUUUCCGUCACUUUGAAAGUUAUCUAUGACAAAUAUAAAAAGAUCGUAUUGAAGUUCCAUGUUAACAACUUAAUGCAAAAAUUUUCUCAUGGAAAAUGAUCGAAUUUCUUUUAUCAUAACAAGCGAUCAAUACCGAUGACGAGCCUAAUAUAUACGUAAGCGAUCGAUCGAUGAAAUUCAUAGACCGAUGUUUUAUCAAAUACCCAACGAGCGAGAUGAAAGCAAACAUUACGACGGAGGUCCAACUAAAAAUAAGAAACGAGCUUUCGUUCGAUUUCAACGCUGAGUACGCGUUAACUAAUUACUCGCUUGCUUUACAGUGACACAAUGAAAGUCCACGAGACGUAAACUCAUCGUAAAAGACUCGCUUUUCGAAUGAUGUAACCGCGAAGCGCGUAAGAGAGCGGACAAGCGUAUCCCCGGACUGCAGACUCGUCGAGAGGGGAAAACUAGUUAAUCCGGUGUUAAUCGUCCGAUCCGGCGACAAAUAUGAAUACAAACGGGCGAAGGGGAGCGGCUAGUGACCGGAAGUAACAUGAUUUCUCACGAAAUAACUUCCUGUCUACAGCUCCCACCGUCCCUCGUUUAAAAGUUCAUCGGUCCCUCGCUGCUUAUAAUCCCAACUAACGGAGGUUCAUCGGCACCGAGGGUGCACAGGAGGAGAAAUAUCUGUUUGCCUUUACGCUAUCCACCGUUCAAUGUCACUGUCAUGGUAAUUUUUCAUCUCUCUAGGAGAAAAAUUCAAUAGCAACGCGUGUAUAGCAAGAGUUUUCAUCUUGAGAAUUAAUUAAUAACGAUGAACGAGAAUGUUCGUGAAGGUCAAACAAACUCGAGUAAAAUUAGAUUUAAAGCAAAUGUUUUGGUCUUGUAGUUUCGCCUCGUUUAUUGUCGUGAAAUUUUUUAAAUAGUUCCUUGCUUUUCGACGUGUUACGGUGGUCUCGAGAAAAGAAGAAUUACGUAUACAACGUUUUGCUUGUUCUUACUAAUGUGAACCAUGCUUUUGCGUCCUUUGUUCGUACAAAGUUCGUACAGCUAUCGUAAACUUUUCAAUUAUCUCGCUCUCUCCCUCUCUCUUUUGUACAACGUAUAACUGUCACACUGUAACAUAUUUCCCGUACGAGUUCAACUUUUCAGACUAUCAAAGUAUAUGUAACUGAUAACAUGAAAAUACAGUAGAAGUAUACGAAGUAUACUGUAACAAAUUGCCGCGACAAGUAGUCAAACUCCGUGCAACAUUAGUCGUAUCCUUUUUCAGAUUAAUAAAAAUAGAAUAAUUCUUCGCGUAAGAGUUGUAAGUGAGACUAAAAUAAUAAUUUGAAUAUAAAAUAACAAUUUCGUUUCACCGUAUCGUUUCUCAAAUAGGUAGCAAUUUUCCUCGAAUAUAUGAUACAAGUUGCCAAAGUAUCAGGUUUUAAAGCGUAAUUAGUGGGACGCGGUUGACGCAUAAACUUGUACUAUAAAACACGAAUCGACGUUCCUCGUUAAAAGCCCCUUUCGUAUGGACGAUUCGCGUGCCUCAACGCGACGAAAAUAAUUAAAAGGACACU